GCUUUGAUAGCUUAAAUUUUUAGAGCAUAGCACUGAAGAUGCUAAGGUAGCAAUUAUGCUUCAAGGCA
rnacentral:tRNA from 1 species